AGUGGCGAACGGGUGAGUAACACGUGGGCAACCUGCCCAAAANAGGGGGAGUAACACUUGGAAACAGGUGCUAAUACCGCAUAACCAUAGUUACCGCAUGGUAACUAUGUAAAAGGUGGCUAUACUACCGCUUUUGGAUGGGCCCGCGGCGCAUUAGCUAGUUGGUAGGGUAAAGGCUUACCAAGGCAAUGAUGCGUAGCCGAAUUGAGAGGUUGAUCGGCCACAUUGGGACUGAGACACGGCCCAAACUCCUACGGAAGGCAGCAG
rnacentral:rRNA from 1 species